GGGGAACUCAACAAGAGCCUGCCUGAAAAGUGGCUUGUGGAGCGAGUCUGCGUCCACUUGCAGAUUGGUGACCUGCGCAAAGCCUACACUUCCUGCUGAUGGUUACGUUACAGCCUAUAGUUUUGACGUGAGGGCGGACGUGAUCUACCACUGCAAUGAAGGAUACCGGCUGGAAACAGGUCACGAUGGCUCGCCACAACCUUCCAGUGGGCAUGGGAGGACGAGAUCUGUGAAAAGGACGUGUCAAAUCGCAGGACUUUAGUCAGGGAAUGUGCCCUCGUGUCUUUACACAGAUUGCGGCCACGUUCCUGAACCCUUAAGGGUAGUCGUGACUAUCUAAAUGGUACCACCUAUUUGGAUAGUCAAGUGAACUAUUCCUGUACUACUAACUAUCAGAUAGUCGGCCAGCCAGAUCAGAGUGUGCCAGG